rnacentral:rRNA from 1 species
CCAUUAUCUUGACCAUGCCUCAAAUAUGAUCUUGUCUGAUCUCCAAGUUAAGCAGGGUUUGGCCUGAUUAGUACUGGAAUGGUAAACUGCUGGGAAAACCAGGUGCUAUAUGGG